rnacentral:rRNA from 1 species
AUGGCAUCAACCAUGCCGUUCUCCGCUGGCCUCGUUUCUCUUGGGUCUCCGCCGCCGCAGCGCCACAGCUGCAGGUUCCAGCGAUAUCAUCGACCGGGCACUCUCAUUUCAUCAGCUAUAAGGCAUGGUCAGGUUAAAGCUAUGGCUGGAGUGAGCAUGGAUGGCUUGGCACAGCCUCAAGCCCCAGUUGCAGUGGUUACCGGAGCAUCGAGGGGGAUUGGGCGAGCGAUAGCUGUGGCUCUUGGCAAAGCAGGGUGCAAGGUAGUUGUGAACUAUGCCAAGUCAGGCAUGGAAGCUGAAGAAGUGUGCAGAGAGAUCAUGGAGUCCGGUGGCACUGCCAUCUCCUUUUCAGCCGAUGUCUCCAUUGAAGCCGAGGUUGAAACCAUGAUGAGAGCGGUAAUUGAUACUUGGGGAACGCUGGACGUGAUGGUGAACAAUGCAGGGAUCACGCGAGAUGCUCUGCUAAUGCGGAUGAAGAAGGCGCAGUGGCAGGAAGUAGUGGACGUAAACCUUACCGGUGUUUACCUCUGCGCCCAGGUGAGAUGUGCUGUUCACUUGGCCUCCGUAAUGGGCAUCAAAUAUGCUUUAAAAAUCUUGUUUCAGGCUGCGGCGGCAGUGAUGAUGAAGAGGAAGAAGGGAAGAAUCAUCAACAUCGCCUCAGUUGCCGGGAUGAUCGGCAACAUUGGCCAGGCCAACUACUGCGCCGCCAAGGCCGGGGUGAUUGGAUUGACCAAGGCCAUGGCCCGGGAAUACGGUGGCAGAAACAUAAAUGUGAAUGCAGUUUCCCCGGGCUGGGUCGCGUCUGACAUGACCGCAAAACUAGGCGACGACAUCGAACGAAAGGCGCUCGAGACAAUACCACUAGAGGAGAUUGCUGGACUGGUGGAGUUCUUGGCUGUUCAUCCGGCUGCAAGCUACAUGACCGGGCAGGUGCUCCCAGUUGAUGGUGGCCUGUCCAUUUGA